rnacentral:rRNA from 1 species
GGGGAGCUGUCAAGAAGCUUUGAUCCGUAGAUUUCCGAAUGGGGCAACCCAAUGUAUAGAGAUAUACAUUACCUAUAUAGGAGCGAACGAGGGGAAUUGAAACAUCUUAGUACCCUCAGGAAAAGAAAUCAAUAGAGAUUGCGUCAGUAGCGGCGAGCGAAAGCGCAAGAGGGCAAACCCAGUGCUUGCACUGGGGGUUGUAGGACUGCAAUGUGCAAGAGCUGAGUUUAGCAGAACAUUCUGGAAAGUAUAGCCAUAGAGGGUGAUAGUCCCGUAUGCGAAAAACAAAGCUUAGCUAGCAGUAUCCUGAGUAGGGCGGGACACGAGGAAUCCUGUCUGAAUCCGGGUCGACCACGAUCCAACCCUAAAUACUAAUACCAGAUCGAUAGUGCACAAGUACCGUGAGGGAAAGGUGAAAAGAACUGAGGUGAUCAGAGUGAAAUAGAACCUGAAACCAUUUGCUUACAAUCAUUCAGAGCACUAUGUAGCAAUACAGUGUGAUGGACUGCCUUUUGCAUAAUGAGCCUGCGAGUUGUGGUGUCUGGCAAGGUUAAGCAAACGCGAAGCCGUAGCGAAAGCGAGUCUGAAUAGGGCGCUUAGUCAGAUGCUGCAGACCCGAAACGAAGUGAUCUAUCCAUGAGCAAGUUGAAGCUAGUGUAAGAACUAGUGGAGGACUGAACCCAUAGGCGUUGAAAAGCCCCGGGAUGACUUGUGGAUAGGGGUGAAAGGCCAAUCAAACUUCGUGAUAGCUGGUUCUCUCCGAAAUAUAUUUAGGUAUAGCGUUGUGUCGUAAUAUAAGGGGGUAGAGCACUGAAUGGGCUAGGGCAUACACCAAUGUACCAAACCCUAUCAAACUCCGAAUACCUUAUAUGUAAUCACAGCAGUCAGGCGGCGAGUGAUAAAAUCCGUCGUCAAGAGGGAAACAACCCAGACUACCAGCUAAGGUCCCUAAAUCUUACUUAAGUGGAAAACGAUGUGAAGUUACUUAAACAACCAGGAGGUUGGCUUAGAAGCAGCCAUCCUUUAAAGAAAGCGUAAUAGCUCACUGGUCUAGUGAUUUUGCGCGGAAAAUAUAACGGGGCU